UUGAGCAUCAAACUUUUAAAUUGAAGAGUUUGAUCAUGGCUCAGAUUGAACGCUGGCGGCAGGCCUAACACAUGCAAGUCGAACGGUAACAGGAAGAAGCUUGCUUCUUUGCUGACGAGUGGCGGACGGGUGAGUAAUGUCUGGGAAACUGCCUGAUGGAGGGGAUAACUACUGGAAACGGUAG
rnacentral:rRNA from 1 species